CAGUCGCCGCGGUAAUACGUAGGGUGCGAGCGUUAAUCGGAUUUACUGGGCGUAAAGCGUGCGCAGGCGGCCCGUUAGGACAGGUGUGAAAUCCCUGGGCUCAACCUAGGAAUUGCGCUUGUGACUGGCGGGCUCGAGUACGGUAGAGGGGGGUGGAAUCCCUGGUGUAGCAGUGAAAUGCGUAGAGAUCAGGAGGAACACCGAUGGCGAAGGCAGCCCCCUGGGCCUGUACUGACGCUCAUGCACGAAAGCGUGGGGAGCAAACAGGAUUAGAUACCCUCGUAGUCCCUGUCUCUUAUAC
rnacentral:rRNA from 1 species